rnacentral:lncRNA from 1 species
AACCACCCGUCUCCCACUAGGCCCAGCUUUCCCCUGUCCCAAAACGACCCCAUUUUAAUUAGUGCUGAUAUUGGUCGUCCCUAGGUCGUCUCUCUCACUCUGACUCUAAUCGGAGAACACUCCCUGCCGGCUCCUCCCUAGACCGCCGCAGAAAAUCGCUUGAUGGUGGCGGAGAACCUCCAAUGACCACCAAAUGAACACCCAUGAACCACCUUCCUCCCCUCUCUCCAAAUAUACAACCCCUUUUCCUCAAAACCUGACCAAAAUUUUCGAAUAUCAAAGCAAAAACUCGGACCAAAACGUCAACUCGCCCAAAUCCUUCCAAAUUGAAAACCCUGAACCACCUUCCUCUCCUCUUUCCAAACCCUCAAACCCCGUCCCUCGAAUCCUUGCCCAUAUUCUCGAAUAUCAAAUCAAGAUUCUAGCCAAAACCCUAAAUCCUCCAAAUCUCACCAAAUUUACACCAUGUGAUCUUUCCACUUUCCUCAUUCGUAAUCCAUAAUCAGUGGCCUUCGAAUCUCGCCUAAGGUUCUCGAUUUUUAAAUCAUAGAAGCGGUAGAGCCCUAGAGUUACAUUUUCUUUUCUUCCUUAUUAUUCAUUCAAAUUAGUUUUGUGAUUAGUUCCUUGCUUUAUUUUUAUUAGUAAUAACUAGAUUUCUAGGUAUUGGGCUUUUGAUUAGUUAAGCUUAUGAUUUUUGUUUUCCUUAAUCGUUUUGUGUUAAUUCAUGACCAAUGUGCUUAAGUGGUUUAAGAUGAUCGAUCGAGGUGUAAUUUAUGAUUGAAAUAUAUUUUGUAUAAAUUGAUUAAUCACACGUUUAUUAGAGUAUUGUUUCCAUAUGGCAUUUUACUUUAUUUGAAUUAUUUCAAUUAAUUGUUUACUAUUCUUAAUGAUGCAUUUGGCCCUAGAAUUCAUAUUAUGAGAUUUAAAUCAAGAUCAACAUGGUUUAUAGGAUUUUUGAUUCAAUUUAAGGAUUUUUUGGAUAAAGAUGAUUGUUCCAGCUCUUUGUUUAAUUGACCAUGGUCACUUCGAACUAGGGUAAAAGAGGGCUGGGGUUUAGUUUGUAUAAGACAAUAAUUUAAUAUGGAUAAAAGGUUAGUAUUGGUAUUUUACCUAAGGAAUUUGUUAGUAAUUGGAAUAGAAUCCCCUAGAAGCUUAUAGACAGGGUUAAAAAUAGAAAUUCGAGAAUUUAGUAGUGUAACUUGAGAAACAAGCCAUUAAAUAAGGGUCUAACUAGCUAAAAUUUUUAAAUAAAAGAGGGACUAAAUGUAUAAUCAUAAAAUCUAAGAGAGCCCUCAAUUUCUUCCCAUAAAAGGCAAUCUCUACUGCCUUGUUUCACGAGUUUUAAGAUCCCCAAAAUUUGAAAUUCAAAAUUCAAAUCAGUUCUUAGAGUUUUAGAGAGUAAAACACUGAAAAGAUCCAGUUCAGAUCCAUAAACCUACUGAAAAUCAAACAAAUUUUCUGUUAGAAAUAGAUAUUUUAAAUAACAAAUAUUAGAUCCUAGAAACAAACAUCUUGAAAAACAACCAAAAAUAUAGUAUAAAAUCUUCUCCAGCCAGUUUUAUUUCAAUUAUAUUGGUCCUUCAAGCUGAUUUUCUAAUCUAGCUAGUAUAUUUGAUUGAAGCUCUUUUGGAAGUCAACUGCAUCCUAUUAUGUUCCCUUGGAUUUUUAGUUGUUUUGUGUUUUGUGUUGUUGUUGAUCUCACUCCUGAUCACUGUUUACUAAUGCUGAUUUCUCUUUCUUCUUAUCGUACUCCAACUUUCAGGUAUUUCUCAAUCUCAAAUGAUACGAAAGUGAGUCAAAUGUAUGGUUCACAAUGGAAGAGAAUUGAAGUGCAAGUUUUUGUUAUUUUCCUCUACUUUACCUUAGUAUUGUAGUUCACAUUUGUAGUCAUUUGAAUUAUAUAAUAACUAUAUUAAUGAGACUGUAUGGACUGUAUUUGAUCAUUUGAAUUUUUUUUUCAUCAUUCUGUGAAUGUAUUUUUAAUAGUUUGCUUAUUUGAGAUCAACUCUCAUAAUUAAAUGUUAGUAGAAAUAGUAUCAGGUUAGUUUGAAGGAUUAAAAUUAGAAGGUGAUAAAAACAUAAAGCUGGUUUUUAGAAUCAAUACUGAAAUGCAACAGGAAACAUUAUGUUUAAAUUUAA